AUUGGACAACAAUAUUAUGUCCAUUUGGAACGGUAUAAAGAAAAUUACUAUAGCCUCAGCGCAAGGAUGACACAUGUAGAUUGAGAAAUAGUUCAUUUUUUU